rnacentral:ncRNA from 2 species
AUCGAAUGAAGAGGUUGCGACAAUCAUGAGUCGCUUAGCACAGAACAAUCAGGUUUGCUGAGGCUAAGUUAAAGGGUGCGUCGCCGAAAUUUCUGCUUACUGAUUUAAGUGGAGGUUGGGCCGUUGGUUAAUAGCUGACGGACUGUCGCGGCAAAUAGAAACGCCGCGGAGCGCUAUCAACGAUU